rnacentral:rRNA from 1 species
AUUGAACGCUGGCGGCAGGCCUAACACAUGCAAGUCGAACGGUAACAGGAAGCAGCUUGCUGCUUCGCUGACGAGUGGCGGACGGGUGAGUAAUGUCUGGGAAACUGCCUGAUGGAGGGGGAUAACUACUGGAAACGGUAGCUAAUACCGCAUAACGUCGCAAGACCAAAGAGGGGGACCUUAGGGCCUCUUGCCAUCGGAUGUGCCCAGAUGGGAUUAGCUAGUAGGUGGGGUAACGGCUCACCUAGGCGACGAUCCCUAGCUGGUCUGAGAGGAUGACCAGCCACACUGGAACUGAGACACGGUCCAGACUCCUACGGGAGGCAGCAGUGGGGAAUAUUGCACAAUGGGCGCAAGCCUGAUGCAGCCAUGCCGCGUGUAUGAAGAAGGCCUUCGGGUUGUAAAGUACUUUCAGCGGGGAGGAAGGGAGUAAAGUUAAUACCUUUGCUCAUUGACGUUACCCGCAGAAGGAGCGCCGGCUAACUCCGUG